GCCUUGGUGGCGGAAUUGGUAGACGCGCAGGACUUAAAAUCCUGUGACCAUUAUGGUCGUGCCGGUUCGAUCCCGGCCCGAGGUA
rnacentral:tRNA from 1 species